rnacentral:rRNA from 1 species
GAUGAACGCUGGCGGCGUGCCUAACACAUGCAAGUCGAGCGUGAUGCUCUGGAUUGAAGCUUCGGCUGAUUGAAAGAGUUGAAAGCGGCGGACGGGUGAGUAACGCGUAGGCAACCUGCCCCUUACAGAGGGAUAGCCACUGGAAACGGUGAUUAAUACCUCAUAAUGCGAGAGAACCUCCUGGCUCUUUCGCCAAAGAUUUAUCGGUAAGGGAUGGGCCUGCGUCUGAUUAGCUAGUUGGUGAGGUAACGGCCCACCAAGGCAACGAUCAGUAGCCGACCUGAGAGGGUAAUCGGCCACAUUGGAACUGAGACACGGUCCAAACUCCUACGGGAGGCAGCAGUGGGGAAUAUUGCACAAUGGGCGCAAGCCUGAUGCAGCAACGCCGCGUGAACGAAGAAGGUCUUCGGAUUGUAAAGUUCUGUCCUUGGGGAAGAAACAAAUGACGGUACCCUUGGAGGAAGCCCCGGCUAACUACGUGCCAGCCGCCGCAGUAACAC